CUCCUGGGAAGUCCUCGUGUUGCACCCCCUUUAUAAGAAUUAAACGCGCUUAUGCUGAU
rnacentral:rRNA from 1 species